rnacentral:lncRNA from 1 species
GUUCACUUUUUACUGUAACGAUUGUUUGAUAUCGAAACAUAGUCAUAACCUUCGAGGGAAAUAAAUUUGGAUUAUUAUAAUACCAGAUUGAAGGGUUUUAAAGAAAGAUUAAUUAUUUAUAGGAUUAUAGAUAAAAAUAAAGCCACAAAAGAAAUCAUUGAAUUAGCUAAGAUAUAGGAGAACAAUUUUCAUAAAGGGACCAUGAGUGAAUUAGAUCCUUAAUAUUGUCAAAACUUGUCUAUAACUUAGGAUAGAAGCAUACAGAAGUACCUAAAAUGAAUAACUUGGAAAGCUUGUCAAAGAAACGGCAAUUGGCAUGCUAAUAGGUGCAAUUUAUGAUAUAAAACAACACUUGAAAGGCAGUGUCACAGUCUAGAUAUGAAAUGUAAGUUGGCAUUUAAAGUUAUAAAGUAUAGACGAAGUGUCGCAACUACCCGAAAUCCUCAUUCACUAGCAGACUAAAUGAAAUUGUUGUUUGAAAAAAAAAAGGAUAAUGGCAUAAAAAAAUCCGAAAUUUUAUUUCUUGGCACAAUAAAUUAGGAUUUAAAAAUAUUUAGCGAUUCUUUU